rnacentral:miRNA from 1 species
UCGGGGUAUUCCACAAAAAAUUACCCUGCGGGAUGAAAUAUUCCUCGGGCUUCACCCUCGGAAUAUUUCAUCCCUCAGGGUAAUUUUUUGUGGAAUACCCCU